rnacentral:lncRNA from 1 species
AUUGGAGGAGGUGGAGGAGGAGGAGGAGGUGGUUCCGGCUACCAGGGCCAAGGACCCAUCUGCAUUGGAGGUGGAGGAGGAGGAGGAGGAGGAGGAGGAGGUGGUGGAGGAGGUGGGGGUGGUUCUGGUCACCAGGGCCAAGGAUCCAUCUGCAUUAUUGGAGGAGGCUCUGGUGGAGGUGGUUCAUCUAGCUCUGGAGGCAUGUCCAUGCAACAGCAGACCCAGCCUAUCUCCUGGCCACCACAGACUAAACACAAGUAGCAGCUUUAGAAGAGAAUCUUGUAACAAGAAAGCCCAGGAUGCAAACAUUAUCUCAUUUCUUACUCUGGUAAAUGUAAGAAUACUUGCAUGAUUCCUUUCUCCUCCUCGGAAUUUUUCUCUUCAGCUCCCCAGCCAACCAGAACCUCCAGUGGUGUGUAUCAGCAAUUUGCAGCCUCAUGUGAGGUUACACCAUAUGUCUUUUUUCUGCCUCAAUGUUCUAGUGUUUGCACAAGGCAAUAAAACUGCAGCUCUAGAGAACUUCA